rnacentral:rRNA from 1 species
UACGGGGGAAGCAAGCGUUGUUCGGAUUUACUGGGCGUAAAGGGCGCGUAGGCGGCCACCGCAAGUCAAUUGUGAAAUCUCCGGGCUCAACCCGGAACGGUCAACUGAUACUGCGGGGCUAGAGUGCAGAAGGGGCAACUGGAAUUCUCGGUGUAGCGGUGAAAUGCGUAGAUAUCGAGAGGAACACCUGCGGCGAAGGCGGGUUGCUGGGCUGACACUGACGCUGACAGCGCGAAAGCUAGGGGAGCGAACGGG